rnacentral:misc_RNA from 1 species
UUAAGUUCAGCGGGUAAUCCUGCCUGAUCUGAGGUCUAAAUUUAAAUUGACUAAGAUCUGUUUAGGAGCUUCUACUGUCUUCUCAUUCGGCCACCCAAAGGUGUCCUCAGCGAAUAGUCUAUCACGCUGAGUCAAUCCGAAGUUCGAAAUUGAGAUGCUAAUGUAUUACGAAUGAGCUACGUCCGAAGACCAGCAACACU